rnacentral:rRNA from 1 species
AGAGUUUGAUCAUGGCUCAGGACGAACGCUGGCGGCACGCUUAACACAUGCAAGUCGAACGUGAAACUCGGAGCUUGCUCCGGGUGGAAAGUGGCGAACGGGUGAGUAACACGUGAGGAACCUGCCCCGAAGACUGGGAUAACGCCGGGAAACCGACGCUAAUACUGGAUGCCUUCUCCGGAUCGCAUGAUCUGGCGAAGAAAUGGAUUCCGCUUCGGGAUGGCCUCGCGGCCUAUCAGCUUGUUGGUGGGGUAACGGCCUACCAAGGCAACGACGGGUAGCUGGUCUGAGAGGAUGUCCAGCCACACUGGGACUGAGACACGGCCCAGACUCCUACGGGAGGCAGCAGUGGGGAAUCUUGCGCAAUGGGCGAAAGCCUGACGCAGCGAUGCCGCGUGCGGGAUGAAGGCCUUCGGGUUGUAAACCGCUUUCAGCAGGGACGAAAUUGACGGUACCUGCAGAAGAAGCCCCGGCCACUACGUGCCAGCAGCCGCGGUA